UCUGGUGGCUUUAGCACGAGCAAAACACCCGAUCCCAUCCCGAACUCGGCCGUUAAGUGCCGUUGCGCCAAUGGUACUGCGUCUCAAGACGUGGGAGAGUAGGUCACCGCCAGAC
rnacentral:rRNA from 1 species